rnacentral:rRNA from 1 species
AGCGAACGUUAGCGGCGGGCUUAACACAUGCAAGUCGAGCGAUAAUCGGGACUUCGGUCCUGAGGACAGCGGCAGACGGGUGAGUAACACGUAGGUAAUUUUCCGUUCGGUGGGGGACAACGGUUCGAAAGGACCGCUAAUACCGCAUACGUUCUAGGGGACCUCGGUCUUCUAGAGGAAAGCUGGGCAACUGGCUCCGAAUGAGAAGCCUGCGUCGCAUCAGCUAGUUGGUGGGGUAAUGGCCUACCAAGGCGAAGACGCGUAGCUGGUCUGAGAGGAUGAUCAGCCACACUGGAACUGAGACACGGUCCAGACUCCUACGGGAGGCAGCAGUGGGGAAUAUUGGACAAUGGGCGCAAGCCUGAUCCAGCCACGCCGCGUGAGUGAUGAAGGCCUUCGGGUCGUAAAGACCCUCGUGGGGAGGAACGGAACCGUACGGGGGCGGAACGACCCUCCGUACCUCGACGGUACCUCCUUAGCAAGCAUCGGCUAACUCUGUGCCAGCAGCCGCGGU